rnacentral:lncRNA from 1 species
UCAAACUUUGUGUACAUUUAUAAUAAUACUUCCUGUCCAUUUGCACUAAAGACAGAUAAAACAGAUGGCACAUAACAUUUAUAUCACCAGGUCAUAUUUCUAAUUGCUCAACUUUUGCUCAACUAUAAAAAAAAAUCAAAGUCUGAACGCUCAACUUUUCCUCAACUACAAAAAUUUCAAAGUCUGAAUGCUCAACUUUUCCUCAACUACAAAAAUUUCAAAGUCUGAAUGCUCAACUUUUGCUCAACUACAAAAUUUCAAAGUCUGAAAGCUCAACUUUUGCUCAACUAUAUGAAAACCAAAGAUCAAUUGCUCAACUUUUCCUCAACUUAAUGGCCAGCUUCAGUUGAGGGCCAGUUGAGCGACAUCUAUCCAACAUACAGUGCUUGGCCAGGUUUGAGUUGAGCUAAGAUGCUCAACACCUAGCCCUCAACUAUUUUGCUUAAAACAGCUAGCCCUC